UUUGACUAUGUGAUGCUACAGUAAAUAUGUGCUAAUUAUGGAUUAAUUAGGCUUAACAGAUUUGUCUCGCGAAUUAGCCACAACUUAUGCAAUUAGUUUUAUAAUUAGUUCACCUUUAGUCCUUAUAAUUGGUAUCCAAGCACCCCAACUAAAAAUUAGUUCAUGGAAAACCCCCCUUAUUUUCUUUUCCCUUUGCGCUCUCUCUCUCCUCGCUCUCCUUCUC
rnacentral:lncRNA from 1 species